UACGGAGGGUGCAAGCAUUAAUCGGAUUUAUUGGGCGUAGAGGGCGCGUAGGCGGAGAUAAAAGUCAGAUGUGAAAUCCUGGGGCUCAACCCCAGAACAGCAUUUGAAACUCUAUUUCUAGAGGGUAGGAGGAGAAAACGGAAUUCCACAAGUAGCGGUGAAAUGCGUAGAUAUGUGGAAGAACACCGGUGGCGAAGGCGGUUUUCUAUCUUAUUCCUGACGCUGAGGCGCGAAAGCAAGGGGAUCAAACAGGAUUAGAAACCCGAGUAGU
rnacentral:rRNA from 1 species